rnacentral:rRNA from 1 species
AUACGUAGGGUGCGAGCGUUGUCCGGAAUUACUGGGCGUAAAGGGCGUGUAGGCGGCCGAUUAAGUCUGGAGUGAAAGUCCUGCAUUCAAUGUGGGAAUUGCUUUGGAGACUGGUUGGCUUGAGUGCGGAAGAGGUAAGUGGAAUUCCCAGUGUAGCGGUGAAAUGCGUAGAGAUUGGGAGGAACACCAGUGGCGAAGGCGACUUACUGGGCCGUAACUGACGCUGAGGCGCGAAAGCGUGGGGAGCGAACAGGAUUAGAUACCCUGGUAGUCCACACCGUAAACGAUGAAUGCUAGGUGUAGGGGGUAUCGACCCCUUCUGUGCCGCAGUCAACACAAUAAGCAUUCCGCCUGGGGAGUACGGCCGCAAGGUUGAAACUCAAAGGAAUUGACGGGG